AGGCUUAACACAUGCAAGUCGAACGGGCACUUCGGUGCUAGUGGCAGACGGGUGAGUAACACGUGGGAACGUACCUUUCGGUUCGGAAUAAUCCAGGGAAACUUGGACUAAUACCGGAUACGCCCUUCGGGGGAAAGAUUUAUCGCCGAUAGAUCGGCCCGCGUCUGAUUAGCUAGUUGGUGAGGUAAUGGCUCACCAAGGCGACGAUCAGUAGCUGGUCUGAGAGGAUGAUCAGCCACAUUGGGACUGAGACACGGCCCAAACUCCUACGGGAGGCAGCAGUGGGGAAUAUUGGACAAUGGGCGCAAGCCUGAUCCAGCCAUGCCGCGUGAGUGAUGAAGGCCUUAGGGUUGUAAAGCUCUUUUGUCCGGGAAGAUAAUGACUGUACCGGAAGAAUAAGCCCCGGCUAACUUCGUGCCAGCAGCCGCGGUAAUACGAAGGGGGCUAGCGUUGCUCGGAAUCACUGGGCGUAAAGGGCGCGUAGGCGGACUCUUAAGUCGGGGGUGAAAGCCCAGGGCUCAACCCUGGAAUUGCCUUCGAUACUGAGAGUCUUGAGUUCGGAAGAGGUUGGUGGAACUGCGAGUGUAGAGGUGAA
rnacentral:rRNA from 1 species